rnacentral:rRNA from 1 species
AUGUCCAUUCCAUUCGGCAGGGACUCCAUCUCGCAUUCGAUCUCCCUCCUUUCCCUGAAAGAGUCGAGGUCUCUCUGGACUUCUCUUUUGCCUCUCUACCAGAUUAUAAAAAGGGAGGAAGAGGGCCUCUCGACGGGAGUGAUUCCCCGAAAAGAGAUCGUUCCCAGCAUCCUCGAGUUCGUAGUCAAACUCACCUUCAUCCACCUUUCAUGGACUAGCACGGGCAAGCGCCAAUGUCUGGAGCAGGAGAUGGAAGCUUGGGUUGAGGAGGCUGUCAACGAGUCAUCAAAGGCGAUAGAUUGGUUAUAUUCGGAUUCGUUUGAUUUUGAUUUUCUUUUUUUUGGUUGUGAGAGGUCUGAGUCCACAGCUGGGGAAGAGUCGUCAGAUGACAAUUGA